GAUGAACGCUGGCGGCGUGCUUAACACAUGCAAGUCGAACGGAAAGGCCCAAGCUUGCUUGGGUACUCGAGUGGCGAACGGGUGAGUAACACGUGGGUGAUCUGCCCUGCACUUCGGGAUAAGCCUGGGAAACUGGGUCUAAUACCGGAUAGGACCACAUUUUGGAUGGUGUGGUGGAAAGUUUUUCGGUGUGGGUUGAGCUCGCGGCCUAUCAGCUUGUUGGUGGGGUAAUGGCCUACCAAGGCGUCGACGGGUAGCCGGCCUGAGAGGGUGUACGGCCACAUUGGGACUGAGAUACGGCCCAGACUCCUACGGGAGGCAGCAGUGGGGAAUAUUGCACAAUGGGCGCAAGCCUGAUGCAGCGACGCCGCGUGGGGGAUGACGGCCUUCGGGUUGUAAACUCCUUUCGCUAGGGACGAAGCGCAAGUGACGGUACCUGGAGAAGAAGCACCGGCUAACUACGUG
rnacentral:rRNA from 1 species